AUGGGGCAAGCACAGGGGAUUGCUACUCCCAGCUGCUGCCUGCUCUUCCUUCUCUCUCUCUCUGUUCUCCUCCUCUUGGUGGCCCCAUGUCCCGGGGAGACCUUGACUAUCCCAUGGUUAGGACUGCGCCCAGGUUCUCAUGUAGGCAGCGCUUAUUCAGCUUCUCCCCUGAAAACUGGUUCUGAGCCUUGGGGGAAUCCCAGGGCUCUGCCUGCAGGCCGCCCAUCUCGGCAGUACCGUUUUCUUAAGCAUCAAGGCUUUUCCAGGGAUGUGGCCACAGGUGCUGGCUCUGCAUCUCUUCAGUGGAAUCCUGAUUCUGAGUCUUGGAGAGGUCACCUGGGUACAUUGGCUCUAUAUAUUUCAUGAGGGAGCUGCCAGGCUACACCCAGGAGGUCAACCCAGCCACUCUGCAGGCAUUUCUUAGGAAGCUGUUUAUUGCAGCAUUUCACACUAGCUUUCUU
rnacentral:lncRNA from 1 species